UACGUAGGGGGCAAGCGUUAUCCGGAUUUACUGGGUAUAAAGGGAGCGUAGACGGCGAUGCAAGUCUGAAGUGAAAGGCGGGGGCCCAACCCCCGGACUGCUUUGGAAACUGUAUGGCUGGAGUGCAGGAGAGGUAAGUGGAAUUCCUAGUGUAGCGGUGAAAUGCGUAGAUAUUAGGAGGAACACCAGUGGCGAAGGCGGCUUACUGGAUUGUAACUGACGUUGAGGCUCGAAAGCGUGGGGAGCAAACAGG
rnacentral:rRNA from 1 species